rnacentral:tRNA from 2 species
UGGGCUAUUAGCUCAGUGGUAGAGCGCGCCCCUGAUAUGGGCUGUGAGGGCUCUCAGUCACAUGGAUAGUUCA